rnacentral:misc_RNA from 1 species
CAUUCAUCAAAUGAGCUUACGCACAUCCCUCGGCUGGCCCAUUUCUGUUAUGGUCCCAACCCACAGAUGGUAGACGCUAUCUCUUCCAGCAUAGCUGCCCAGCGAACGAGCAUAGAGGAGACCAGUACCGGCCAUUUCCAUUACGGCCACCGCCAUGCCUCCAGUCCUAUCUUCACUUCAUAUCCUAAACCCACGCCUCAGCCUCUACGUGAAGCCACUCUUCCUUCGCAAAUUCCCUCUGCCCAGGCGAUCAGUCCCGAUAAACCCUAGAACUCUUUCCUCUGUAGCCUCCGCACAGUCUCCAACUGAAAAUGGCGAUAGCCGUGGCAGGUCCGGCNNNNNNNNNNNNCCGCCGCCGCUUCUAGAGGAAGCUGUUAAAAAAAUCGACGUCAAUCCUCCAAAAGGGACUAGGGAUUUUCCUCCUGAAGAAAUGCGCCUCCGUAACUGGCUGUUCCACAAUUUCAGAGAGGUCUCGAGAUUGUAUGGAUUUGAAGAGGUUGAUUUCCCAGUGUUGGAGUCGGAGGCAUUGUUUAUUAGGAAAGCCGGAGAGGAAAUUAAGGACCAGUUAUAUUGUUUUGAAGAUCGUGGAAAUCGUCGUGUUGCAUUGAGGCCUGAGCUCACUCCAUCUCUGGCAAGGCUAGUAAUACAGAAAGGGUGCAGAUCCCAGAAUUUGAUCC